rnacentral:rRNA from 1 species
UACGAAGGGGGCUAGCGUUGUUCGGAAUCACUGGGCGUAAAGCGCACGUAGGCGGAUCUUUAAGUCAGGGGUGAAAUCCCGGAGCUCAACUCCGGAACUGCCUUUGAUACUGGCAAUCUAGAGACUGGAAGAGGUUAGUGGAAUUCCCAGUGUAGAGGUGAAAUUCGUAGAUAUUGGGAAGAACACCAGUGGCGAAGGCGGCUAACUGGUCCAGUACUGACGCUGAGGUGCGAAAGCGUGGGGAGCAAACAGG